GAUGAAGAACGUAGCGAAAUGCGAUAAGUAGUGUGAAUUGCAGAAUUCAGUGAAUCAUCGAAUCUUUGAACGCACAUUGCGCCUCCUGGUAUUCCGGGAGGCAUGCCUGUUCGAGCGUCAUUAAAAUCACUCAGGCUUAGGUUUACCUAUUGCUUGGUCUUGGAGAUGGAAGCCAAUUCAUUGGAAUCCUCUUCGAAAUCCAAUGGCGAAGACCCUUGCUCUCCCAAGUGUAGUAAUAACUUAUGUCACUGAAGGAAGCGAGAAAUCUUCCGCCGUAACCCCCAUAUUUUCUAUGAUUGACCUCGGAUCAGGUAGGGAUACCCGCUGAACUUAAGCAUAUCAAUAAGCGGAGGA
rnacentral:misc_RNA from 1 species